rnacentral:rRNA from 1 species
GGACGAACGCUGGCGGCGUGCCUAAUACAUGCAAGUCGAGCGGACGAAUCGAAAGCUUGCUUUUGAUUCGUUCGCGGCGGACGGGUGAGUAACACGUGGGCAACCUGCCCUGUAGACGGGGAUAACACCGAGAAAUCGGUGCUAAUACCGGAUAACACGAAAUGUCGCAUGACGUUUCGUUGAAAGACGGCGCAAGCUGUCGCUACAGGAUGGGCCCGCGGCGCAUUAGCUAGUUGGUGAGGUAACGGCUCACCAAGGCGACGAUGCGUAGCCGACCUGAGGGGGUGAUCGGCCACACUGGGACUGAGACACGGCCCAGACUCCUACGGGAGGCAGCAGUAGGGAAUCUUCCGCAAUGGACGAAAGUCUGACGGAGCAACGCCGCGUGAGCGAAGAAGGCCUUCGGGUCGUAAAGCUCUGUUGUUAGGGAAGAACAAGUAACGCAGUAACUGGCGUUACCGUGACGGUACCUAACGAGAAAGCCACGGCUAACUACGUG